AUUGAACGCUGGCGGCAGGCCUAACACAUGCAAGUCGAACGGUAACAGGAAGCAGCUUGCUGCUUCGCUGACGAGUGGCGGACGGGUGAGUAAUGUCUGGGAAGCUGCCUGAUGGAGGGGGAUAACUACUGGAAACGGUAGCUAAUACUGCAUAAUGUCGCAAGACCAAAGAGGGGGACCUUCGGGCCUCUUGCCAUCGGAUGUGCCCAGAUGGGAUUAGCUUGUUGGUGGGGUAACGGCUCACCAAGGCGACGAUCCCUAGCUGGUCUGAGAGGAUGACCAGCCACACUGGAACUGAGACACGGUCCAGACUCCUACGGGAGGCAGCAGUGGGGAAUAUUGCACAAUGGGCGCAAGCCUGAUGCAGCCAUGCCGCGUGUAUGAAGAAGGCCUUCGGGUUGUAAAGUACUUUCAGCGGGGAGGAAGGGAGUAAAGUUAAUACCUUUGCUCAUUGACGUUACCCGCAGAAGAAGCACCGGCUAACUCCGUG
rnacentral:rRNA from 1 species